rnacentral:tRNA from 1 species
GGGCACAUGGUGUAGUUGGUUUAUCACGCCCGCUUAGCAAGCUCUUGGCGGUAGAUCGUAUGCGGGAGGUGUUGGGUUCAAUUCCCAAUGUGUCCA